rnacentral:rRNA from 1 species
UACGAAGGGGGCUAGCGUUGCUCGGAAUUACUGGGCGUAAAGGGCGCGUAGGCGGAUGUUUAAGUCGGGGGUGAAAGCCCGGGGCUCAACCUCGGAAUUGCCUUCGAUACUGGACAUCUUGAGUUCGGGAGAGGUGAGUGGAAUGCCGAGUGUAGAGGUGAAAUUCGUAGAUAUUCGCAAGAACACCAGUGGCGAAGGCGGCUCACUGGCCCGAUACUGACGCUGAGGCACGAAAGCGUGGGGAGCAAACAGG